UGAAAGAGUUUCAAAUUUGUUAGAGGAUCGCGUGCGGAAUAAAUAAAAAAGAAAAAAAAAAUAUUUUUUGUUAUUUUUUUUCUUUUCAUACUAAGUAAAUAAAAUACACAAAUUAAUUUUAUUGAAUUUAAAAUGAAGUGCAUUUGAAAAUCAAAAAGAAAAAUUUUAAUUAAUUAAUGAAAAAUAAUUAAAAAAUAAAUAGUUAUUUGUUAUUUUUAGUGGUAUUCUUGAAAAUAAGGAAAAAAAAAAUUUCGAUAUAAAAAAGUGCAUACCUACAUACAAGGUAUACAUACACACGCCAAGUGGAUAAUAUAAUAUACAUACCUACAUAUAUAUACCUAUGAAAUAAAAUAUAUCGACGUAUACAUGUUUGUAUGUAGACAAAUAAAAUCUAAUUCGGAAAUUUCCUAAAUAACCAGUGGAAACGUCAACAAGCAGCAUACCAACCUGCUUAGUUAUAUAAAAAAAAAUAAACAUUUUUAAAUUCUUUUUGACUACCUAUCUACCUACAGACGACCUAAAAUACUUUUUUUUUUUUGGAUUAUUUUAAUCAAGGAUACUUACUAAAAAAAAAUACAAGAGCCUAUAAAAUUUUCAACCAUUAUUGGAAAUAAAAUAACAAGGAUUUUACCAUUUGUGGAUUACAAAAACAUAAAAUAAGAAUCACAAGAACAAUUUUGGGAUAUUGGAUUUUUUUAUCAUCAUCAACAUCAUCAUCACCAUAAUUUUUUUUUUGUUUUUUUAAAUACUUCAUUUCAGAGGAUAUCCAGCCAAGUAGAAUUGGCUUGGAUACCUUUACAUAAUAAUAUAGGAAAAUAAAAUAAAAAAAAAAAUUAG